GCUUGAGAGAACUCGGGUGAAGGAACUAGGCAAAAUGGUGCCGUAACUUCGGGAGAAGGCACGCUGAUAUGUAGGUGAAGCGACUAGCUCGUGGAGCUGAAAUCAGUCGAAGAUACCAGCUGGCUGCAACUGUUUAUUAAAAACACAGCACUGUGCAAACACGAAAGUGGACGUAUACGGUGUGACGCCUGCCCGGUGCCGGAAGGUUAAUUGAUGGGGUUAGCGGCAACGCGAAGCUCUUGAUCGAAGCCCCGGUAAACGGCGGCCGUAACUAUAACGGUCCUAAGGUAGCGAAAUUCCUUGUCGGGUAAGUUCCGACCUGCACGAAUGGCGUAAUGAUGGCCAGGCUGUCUCCACCCGAGACUCAGUGAAAUUGAACUCGCUGUGAAGAUGCAGUGUACCCGCGGCAAGACGGAAAGACCCCGUGAACCUUUACUAUAGCUUGACACUGAACAUUGAGCCUUGAUGUGUAGGAUAGGUGGGAGGCUUUGAAGUGUGGACGCCAGUCUGCAUGGAGCCGACCUUGAAAUACCACCCUUUAAUGUUUGAUGUUCUAACGUUGGCCCGUAAUCCGGGUUGCGGACAGUGUCUGGUGGGUAGUUUGACUGGGGCGGUCUCCUCCUAAAGAGUAACGGAGGAGCACGAAGGUUGGCUAAUCCUGGUCGGACAUCAGGAGGUUAGUGCAAUGGCAUAAGCCAGCUUGACUGCGAGCGUGACGGCGCGAGCAGGUGCGAAAGCAGGUCAUAGUGAUCCGGUGGUUCUGAAUGGAAGGGCCAUCGCUCAACGGAUAAAAGGUACUCCGGGGAUAACAGGCUGAUACCGCCCAAGAGUUCAUAUCGACGGCGGUGUUUGGCACCUCGAUGUCGGCUCAUCACAUCCUGGGGCUGAAAUAGGUCCCAAGGGUAUGGCUGUUCGCCAUUUAAAGUGGUACGCGAGCUGGGUUUAGAACGUCGUGAGACAGUUCGGUCCCUAUCUGCCGUGGGCGCUGGAGAACUGAGGGGGGCUGCUCCUAGUACGAGAGGACCGGAGUGGACGCAUCACUGGUGUUCGGGUUGUCAUGCCAAUGGCACUGCCCGGUAGCUAAAUGCGGAAGAGAUAAGUGCUGAAAGCAUCUAAGCACGAAACUUGCCCCGAGAUGAGUUCUCCCUGAGACUUAGAGUCUCCUGAAGGAACGUUGAAGACGACGACGUUGAUAGGCCGGGUGUGUAAGCGCAGCGAUGCGUUGAGCUAACCGGUACUAAUGAACCGUGAGGCUUAACCUU
rnacentral:rRNA from 1 species